GACGAACGCUGGCGGCGUGCCUAAUACAUGCAAGUCGAGCGAGUCUGCCUUGAAGAUCGGAGUGCUUGCACUCUGUGAAACAAGAUACAGGCUAGCGGCGGACGGGUGAGUAACACGUGGGUAACCUGCCCAAGAGAUCGGGAUAACACCUGGAAACAGAUGCUAAUACCGGAUAACAACAGAUGAUGCCUACCAACUGUUUAAAAGAUGGUUCUGCUAUCACUCUUGGAUGGACCUGCGGUGCAUUAGCUAGUUGGUAGGGUAACGGCCUACCAAGGCGAUGAUGCAUAGCCGAGUUGAGAGAAUGAUCGGCCACAUUGGGACUGAGACACGGCCCAAACUCCUACGGGAGGCAGCAGUAGGGAAUCUUCCACAAUGGACGCAAGUCUGAUGGAGCAACGCCGCGUGAGUGAAGAAGGGUUUCGGCUCGUAAAGCUCUGUUGUUGGUGAAGAAGGACAGGGGUAGUAACUGACCUUUGUUUGACGGUAAUCAAUUAGAAAGUCACGGCUAACUACGUG
rnacentral:rRNA from 1 species